AGUUUGAUCCUGACUCAGAUUGAACGCUGGCGGCAGGCCUAACACAUGCAAGUCGAGCGGAUGAGAAGAGCUUGCUCUUCGAUUCAGCGGCGGACGGGUGAGUAAUGCCUAGGAAUCUGCCUGGUAGUGGGGGACAACGUUUCGACAGGAACGCUAAUACCGCAUACGUCCUACGGGAGAAAGCGGGGGACCUUCGGGCCUUGCGCUAUCGGAUGAGCCUAGGUCGGAUUGGCUAGUUGGUGAGGUAAUGGCUCACCAAGGCGACGAUCCGUAACUGGUCUGAGAGGAUGAUCAGUCACACUGGAACUGAGACACGGUCCAGACUCCUACGGGAGGCAACAGUGGGGAAUAUUGGACAAUGGGCGAAAGCCUGAUCCAGCCAUGCCGCGUGUGUUAAGAAGGUCUUCGGAUUGUAAAGCAUACCGACAGAAUAAGCACCG
rnacentral:rRNA from 1 species